rnacentral:rRNA from 1 species
UCAGACGAUGCGUCAUGCAUAUCAAUAAGCGAGGAAAAGAAACUAACAAGGAUUCCCCUAGUAACGGCGAGUGAAGCGGGAAGAGCUCAAAUUUGAAAUCUUAAAGGGUUUCCCUUUACGAAUUGUAGUUUAAAGAAGUGUUUUCUGUUGAGGUUUUGGUAAAAGUUCUUUGGAAUAGGACAUCAUAGAGGGUGAGAAUCCCGUAUUUGACCUUUACUUUCAACUUUGUGAUACACUUUCAAAGAGUCGGAUUGUUUGGGAAUGCAGUCCAAAAUGGGUGGUAAAUUUCAUCUAAAGCUAAAUAUUGGCGAGAGACCGAUAGCGAACAAGUACCGUGAGGGAAAGAUGAAAAGAACUUUGAAAAGAGAGUUAAACAGUACGUGAAAUUGUCAAAAGGGAAGCGUUUGACACCAGUGUUGUUUUUCUGAAAAUCAAUUAAAGAACUGUUUAUGCUAAGUUGUUUAGACUUUAUCAGCUAACUGUUUAGUUUUGAGCUUUUCUUUAAUGCACUUUUCAGUUAACAAGUCAACAUCAAUUUCUUUUGCUGUAAAAAAGCUUGAGGAAGGUGGCUUGAGAUUCGUCUUAAGUGUUUAUAGCCUCUUGCCUAUGCAGUCGGAGAGAUUGAGGUCUGCAGCGUAGAUCCUUCGGGGCUAAAUGCAUUUGUGCUAAGUUAUAGCAUUUUAUAGACAACUUGUUGACUAUGAUUUGUCUUGUAGCUUACUCGCUUAUGUUAUUUUACCUACGCUUAGGAUGUUGAGCGCAUGUCUCUCUCU